UACAGAGGGGGCUAGCGUUGUUCGGAAUUACUGGGCGUAAAGGGCGCGUAGGUGGCCUGUUAAGUCGAACGUGAAAUCCCCGGGCUCAACCCGGGAACUGCGUCCGAGACUGGCAGGCUCGAAUCCGGGAGAGGGAUGUGGAAUUCCAGGUGUAGCGGUGAAAUGCGUAGAUAUCUGGAGGAACACCGGUGGCGAAGGCGGCAUCCUGGACCGGCAUUGACGCUGAGGCGCGAAAGCUAGGGGAGCAAACGGG
rnacentral:rRNA from 1 species